GAUGAACGCUGGCGGCGUGCCUAAUACAUGCCAGUCGAGCGAACAGACGAGGAGCUUGCUCCUCUGACGUUAGCGGCGGACGGGUGAGUAACACGUGGAUAACCUACCUAUAAGACUGGGAUAACUUCGGGAAACCGGAGCUAAUACCGGAUAAUAUAUUGAACCGCAUGGUUCAAUAGUGAAAGACGGUUUUGCUGUCACUUAUAGAUGGAUCCGCGCCGCAUUAGCUAGUUGGUAAGGUAACGGCUUACCAAGGCAACGAUGCGUAGCCGACCUGAGAGGGGGAUCGGCCACACUGGAACUGAGACACGGUCCAGACCCCUACGGGAGGCAGCAGUAGGGAAUCUUCCGCAAUGGGCGAAAGCCUGACGGAGCAACGCCGCGUGAGUGAUGAAGGUCUUCGGAUCGUAAAACUUUGUUAUUAGGGAAAAACAAAUGUGUAAGUAACUAUGCACGUCUUGACGGUCCCUAAUCAAAAAGCCACGGCUAACUACGU
rnacentral:rRNA from 1 species